rnacentral:tRNA from 1 species
UCCCUGGUGGCUCAGAUGGUAAAGAGUCUGCCUGCAGUGCAGGAGACCUAGGUUUGAUCCCUGGUCGGGAAG